rnacentral:misc_RNA from 1 species
AUAUCUUGGAGGAGAAACCUGGCAGAAUUUUGUUUGGAUGUUUAUUAGACUGCUGGUAAUAUAUACCCAUAAAAUGCAUAUCUUCCCGUCACUGAUACAAAACUCUAGAAAAUACAUUUUACGAAUUGUAAAAAAUUUCCCUCACCUUAGGAUAAUUAAUGGUUGAAUGAGAGUUGAAAGCUGGGUGGGGAUCCACCCAUUUCACUAGG